GGCCUGGCAACAGUGUAAAAAUCAAUAAGAAGCAGGAAUGCCUGUGCAAAGCAGGUAGGUGACCCCUGAGCUGGAGAAAAGGCAUUUGGGUUGCCCACAGCCGGCACGCAGGCUUGGAGAGGGUGGGAUUUCAGCACAACAUCUGUUUGCUCACAAGAAAUGCCAGUAACGUUUUGGGAAAGUCUCUUCUCUUGUGCAAGAAACUGCAGGAAAACAGAAGAGACACAGUGUUUGGAAGAGACAGACAUGGCUGAUGUGACAUUUGUGGGGGAUGCAUCCUAAUCCCUGUGGAGGCUGCAGCACGUGCCAGAGAGAGCUGCAGGCCCAGACAGGCAACUGGUGGAAGCGGGUGAGAAAACAGCCAGCCGAAGCAGGAGCACAGCAACCUGCAGCUGAGGAGCCUGAGGAAAAGUGCUGCCAUCAGACUCUUGCCUGUCUGGGACUGUUUUCUCCCUCCAAACCAAAGAAAGGCAGUGUGUUUUCAGAUACGUAACAUCACAGCACCUGAUAUCACCCCCAAAGGCCAUACACUUGUACUGAUGAAUUGAGGUUUGACAGACCAGCUCCUCCUGCAGACAAGUACUCUUCUUACAGCCUAUCAGAAAACUAGAAGUAGGAAAGGGACAGCUAGGAAGAACGCACAAACCUGUCUAUCUAUGGGAGAAGUGGCUGGAUGCAAGUGUGACCAGCACUACUGGUAGAAUAAAAAAACUCAA